rnacentral:lncRNA from 1 species
CUAAUCAUCAUCCUGGCCCACUUUCAGCCCAGAUCGGCCAAGCCGUUCUGGCUCCCAAUCGGUCAGUCUUCAUUGACUCCCUCAGUCCAUCGGCUGAAACACUAUAGCUCUAAUCGGCCGAUUCCCAACUGUAGCUUCUUGCUUGCCGCAUCGGCCGCCUUCCUCUCCUUUGAUGCUGAUCUAAACACGUGUCAAAAUCCUGCGUGAACACAUGCCCCCCUGUUUCGGAGUGAAACAUAUCUUUUGCUCCAAAAUUUUCUCAACUCCGGCUCUCCCCC